rnacentral:rRNA from 1 species
CCUACGGGAGGCAGCAGUGAGGAAUAUUGGUCAAUGGGCGAGAGCCUGAACCAGCCAAGUCGCGUGAGGGAGUACUGCCCUAUGGGUUGUAAACCUCUUUUGUCGGGGAGCAAAAGCCGGACGUGUCCGGCUGUGAGAGUACACGAAGAGAAAGCAUAGGCUAACUCCGUGCCAGCAGCCGCGGUAAUACGGAGGAUGCGAGCGUUAUCCGGAUUUAUUGGGUUUAAAGGGUGCGCAGGCGGAUUGUUAAGUCAGCGGUAAAAUCGUGGGGCUCAACCCCAUCCAGCCGUUGAAACUGGGGAUCUAGAGUGUGCGAGAGGUAUGCGGAAUGCGUGGUGUAGCGGUGAAAUGCAUAGAUAUCACGCAGAACCCCGAUUGCGAAGGCAGCAUACCGGUGCACAACUGACGCUCAGGCACGAAAGCGUGGGUAUCGAACAGGAUUAGAUACCCGGGUAGUC